rnacentral:rRNA from 1 species
AACGAACGCUGGCGGCAGGCCUAACACAUGCAAGUCGAGCGCUUCCCUUCGGGGAGGAGCGGCGGACGGGUUAGUAACACGUGGGAAUAUACCCAGAUCUAAGGAAUAGCCUCGGGAAACUGAGAGUAAUACCUUAUACGCCCUUCGGGGGAAAGAUUUAUCGGAUUUGGAUUAGCCCGCGUUAGAUUAGAUAGUUGGUGGGGUAACGGCCUACCAAGUCGGCGAUCUAUAGCUGGUUUGAGAGGAUGAUCAGCAACACUGGGACUGAGACACGGCCCAG